UUCAGAUGACUUUCUUUUCUUGUUCUUGUGAUCAUUAAAGCUUUCACACUUCAUAUCAUAUCCCAUUAAUUCAUUGGCUCGGGUUUCUGUGAAAGGCCCCCUCUUCACUUUGAUUUUAUCUCAGUCCAUGUGUCUUUAGCAGCCAAUAGUUUCCUAUUGAAGAUAUUUCAGUGUUUGUAACCUUAACUUUUACAGCUGGCACGAGCCAUGGAUUAACUUCAAAUAGUGAUGCUGACUUUGAAGCCUCAUUUUAUGUUCUCUGAGCUGUCCUAGUCCAGAUGACAGGUUUAUAGUUUGGGAAGCCAGUAGCAAUGGCUGAGCUCACUGGUCUUUGUAACUAAAGCACUGUCAUUAGGUGCAGCUCCUCACCAUGGUGACACUGCAAAUAUUGAACACAAAGUGAUUCAUGGGACCCAAUGUGAUGCUUGCUUUAAUUAAUAUUUUACAAGAUAACUUGCUUUAUUUAACUUUUCAAACGUGAGCGGGUUGGGAAGGACAGAAUGUUGCUAUGUAAAAUUUAUGGGCACUCAUAUUUGUGUGCUUGUUUUAAAAAUUAAAUUUAAAAAGUAUUGUUUGUUUUCUCCUCUCCCUGCUGGCGGAUGUUCAGGCCCUUGCAAGGCUCCAGGGGAUUUUCUGUGUGUGAGAGCUGAAUGAUGAGCUCUGAAAAGUGAUGUUCCUGCUCUCCUGCCUUCCUCCCUCCCUUUGUAUUCUCAUGCAGUCAGUGUGGCAGGGCAGUGUCCUUGCUGGAAGUGUUUUGGGAUACCCUGAGCAGAGAGCACAGUGCUGUGACCCCACUGGUGCAGCCUGACCAUCGGACCCCUCAGACCUGAGGUUCAGCCAUAUUUCCCUGAAGAAAUGAUGUUCUGGAGUGUGCAACCAGAAGUAACCACGAGGCAGGAGGUGGAAGCUGAAACUUGCAGCACAAGCCUGGCCCAGGCUGGUGUCAGGGGACAACUUCUGCAGCAGUCCCUGCCUGGAAGGAAGCCCUCCUCCCGCUGCCCCUGCUGCAUCUGGAGACAUUGUGAGAACCUUGGAGCACAAAGGCCUUUGGACAUCUCAGCAAUGGAGAAUUUUGUCUCCAAAAUUCCUGGUCUAUUUUUGAAAUGUGGCCAUUAUGUGAGAGAAAAUUUAUCUGGAACUCAGCACUUCUGGAGGUCGCAGAUGAGGACACAUCACUCAGUGAUUCUACUACUGAACAGCGUGUGUAGCUCAUACAGAGGAGGACUUGGCUCAGCCUACCCUAAAUUUGCCUUCAGUGCAACAUCCAUGCUUGAUCAUAGCUGGAGCUUCCUCUCAUCAAAGCAGAAAAUAAGUAGAAGAACCAACCACCUGCCACUCACUUGGUCACCUCUACAAAACCAGGCUGGGGCUGAGAAUCAAUAGCAACGACACAGAACUUUUGUGCCUUCUAAAAACAAACUUCAGAUUCGUCAGCUGGAAGUGAUCUCAUCGCGUUACAGAUUUGCUUUCCUGGGAAACUAAACUCUUCUGGUGUAAUGAUGGGAAAGUCUCACCUUCCCUUUUUCUAUAUUCCUUUAACCAAGGUUCUGUUGAAAUUAGCUUGGCAGGCCAACAGCUCAGAAGCAAAGACACAAAAGAAAAACCUUUGUUACUAUUAGGUUUUUUAUUCUAUUUAUUUUCUUACCCAUCUCAUGACUUUGGGGAGAUGGCAAGUGAUUUUUGAAUAUUUAUUGACACAUAUCCAAAUCUGUAGAGAAGGAUACAUUUUACUAAUACAGUAGUCUGUUUGUCUCACUGCCAGCAAAAAAAAUAGAGGCAAACCCCAAUAAUUAAUUAUUGCACUGUGUUUUGUAGUUUUCUUUGAGUUGCAACACUGUCUGCUCACUCCUACUGUUUUUUCUGCCUCUUACAAAUUCUUUGCACAAGUGGAAGCCCAGCUCAGCUAACCCAGUGCAGUAUCACUGUACUCAAGUGAGGAUGGGCUUGGCUCCUCUUCAAAGGGAGCUUUUAUCGAGUGUUUAGUGUGAUGUGACAAAGCAGGGAAGUGUGCCACGGGAUGUGGUGCUUCCAAAUCCCCUCCUUCUACCUUGAUUAAACUUGAGGGCAAUUACCCUUGCCAGGGUGAUGAGCACUGCCAAUGUGCAUCUUGUUUACUGCUGUGCUCAGUUUUUUACGUGGUUUUCCCAUUUUGCACUGGGACAAAACUCUUCUGCUUUAUGCCCUGGAUAAAAUCCAUUUAAAAUACCAAGUUUCUCAUAUUUUGCCACAGGAACCAUGGGAUUCAGAACACUGUGUUUCAGGCUGGCACACUUUCUCACAAGUGCAAAGUGAUGCUUGGGCCCCAGGAGAUCUUCAAGGUCUCACUGUCAGUGCAGGGAAGCUUUGGAUGGGGCCAGUAGAAACUAAAAAGAUUUAUUCUGGGACUAUUUUAUUGUGCUUGGAACAAGCAUUUACUGUCUGGUGUGAGUGGGCUUUAGAUGCUGCUGUAAAUUCCAGCUGAAAAUUUCACAGCAUUUGCCAUUCUGUUUUGCCCUAUUUUAUUUUCCAUGUUUCAUUUGCAUUUCUAGAUUCUGCUUUAUUCUGAUUUCUGAUAAAUUUAGGUCAUUGAAUCAAAGUCUUAUUUUAAAAAAAAAAGAACAAAACAACACAUUUUGGCAAAAAAUAUUUGGGAAAACAUUUUUAUUUUACCAAUUUCCCAGUUGCCUAUAGCAGUCACUCUAAAAACGGAUGCAUCUAACUAGUGUUACUUGAAAAGAUCCUAUUUCUUUUUUUCUCUCUGCUUUUUUUUUUUUUUCUUUCUUCACAAGAACCAGGCCAGAUUUCAGAGAAACUUUAACAAGAAAAACGCACAUCAGCACCCUGAGAUAUUUCCAUGUUUGGCUUUGAAUCUGUCAGUUUUAUGUGGAGAAAAAAAAAUAGGUUGUGAAUUUACUAGUUCAGAGAUUUUGUAGUUUGCUGGUUUUGCCUCGCAGGCUGGGCAGAAUGUAGUGAGGACAGGAGCUGGUCAUUCCUGCCUCUGCCCUGUGUUUCACCCAUCACUUUGUGCCCUGGCAGCCUGCUGGCUUCCUCCUCUUUUCUCUGGAUAAUCUUCUUCCCUCUUUUUUUUUUGACUAAAAUGACAUGAAAGCCCGUUUCAGUUGGUUAUGGUACAGUGCUGAACUCUUCUUUGCCGAGGACGCGCUGGUUGCCUCUGAAGCCAUCACUGGACAAUGGUGGGACAGCAGACCCAGCUCCUUGUUGCACUUGGCUCUGUGCUGUGAUUCCAGGACCAGCAUGGGAUUCUACUUGGCACGUUCCUGGGAGGGGUGGCCCCGCAGGCAGAGCCAGGGCAAGGCUCCCACAAGCUGUUCCCAUUCCUGCUCAGCACGGAUGCAGCAGCCCACCUGUUCUCCGCUGUGCUGGAAUAUCAGCCGGAGCCUUGGCUCUCUUGUUUCAGGCUGCAAGGGGUGAUUUUUAAUCCCUCUAUUCAGAGAGUUUCGAGGAACAGGAGGAGAAGCAUACGGCAUAUGCUCACCUCGGCUCCCAGGAGGUGUGGGGGAGUGCUCCAGCAGCUGCUGAGGUGAUCCUUGUCCUUCUGGCCACAGCCACGUCUGAGAGGGGUGCUCAAGGUGCCUGGGCAUCACCCCAUGAGCAGGUGAGCUCCACAAGCAGGUGGUGUCCCUUCCUCCCCUCUGCAGCCAACAGGGGCAUGGACAAGGCCAUGGCAGGGCAGAGUGGCUGGAGGAGGGACUCCAUCCUCUCCUGGUUUUCCUUCAGUUGGAUCAGCUCCGCAGCAGGGCUGGGAGCACUUCAAAGGCACAGGCUCUCCCUCCACAGUCACAGUAUAAUUUUGGGGUAUGGUGCCUUGGGUGUUUGGAAGUUUGUUGGAUUAAGGACUCACGUUUGACCAAAGCAUGUCUCUUGUGAGAUCUGGAUGCAGCUCUGGCCUCAAAGCACACGAGAUAUCUACAGCACUAGAGCGGUGGGAGCAGGCUGAGUGCUGAGCCACUGGGACCUGCCUCCUGGAUCCUGCACCUCCCCCUGUCUGCCCGUGUCACCAAACCCCGAGCACAUCCAUCCUUGAUGUCCUGUCACUGCUCAUUGCCUGACCCUCAUGCUGACCCAGCUGCAGCCAACAGGAGCAGUGUCGAUGGCAUAACUGGCACCUCCUCUUCUCCCUUCCCUUGUUCCCUCCUGUGUCCCUCCUGCCCACCCUGCUCUCGCUGCUUUGCCUGCUCUGGGCACCAUCUGCUGGGUUUGGGGCUGUCUCAUCUCACCAACUGUCGUUUGUCCUGGCUGUGGGGGAAACGUGCUCACGUUUUGCAUCAAAGGACCCCUCAACCCCUCUCUUUGUGGACCAGCCGGGCUGUCGGAGAGGAGCCAAGCAGUUGGCACUCAGUAAGCAACGAGCAUUAAUAAAAGCAUUACAGUGAGGUUAGAGCCUCAUUAAAGUACUGCUAACGAACCGUCUGCCUUCCAGAAGUACGAAAUUUUAGCUAACACUUCCUCCUUCUAAUUUUGUGUAUAUUUAAAUCUUUCUGGGCAGGCAAUAUUCAUUUCUCCAGGCUUCUACAGCAUAAACAAAGCCCAUUUCAGAGGAGCUGCUCUGGAAGUGCCUUUGGGUGCUGUCUCCAAUGCUGCAGCCUCAUUAGACACAGGGCAGAACCUCUGGGCAGCCCCUCUGUGUGGCCAUGGCAGUGUCCUGGAGCUGACUGGACACAAAGCCCAGCAUUCCGGGGUGCACAGCAGCACUGGGGGCUGUGGGAUGAAGGCAGGCUCUGGACACACCACCGCCCCUGGUCCCAGCCCUGACACUGCUGCUGGCACCCUUUGCCAGGUGUGUUUUGGGGGGAUAGAGAUCCCACAGCUCAUCUGCGGGAGCUGCAGUGCUCCGAGGUCCGCAAGCAGCACCUGAGCUUUGCUGGUGGACAUCGCUGGGCUGGGGGCUGGCACUGACGCGUCUUGGCCAAGUGUCCCCCGGGAGCCAGCAGGGAUUGGUACAGGAGGGGGUUUGCUCUGGGUGCCCCUCCAGCCUCCUCAGCACCCUCAGGGCUGGCUGCAGGUGCUGCUCCUGGCUCCCCACGCUCCCCCCGGGCUGCGGCAGACACCCGACUGCCCGCGGAGCCCAUUGUAAAGCAAAUUAAUUCUCCCGCGCGCCGGGGAAUAGCUGUGCUUUCGGAAAGGCUUGGCAGCGGCAGUGGGGAAAGCAGCUGCUCCGAGGCUCGCAGCCCCUUUUUAUUUCAUUUGCCUGGUUUUAGCAGCAUGCGAGGGGCACGGGAGCAGCAGCGCAGCCGGACACGCGGCCACGGGGGCAUCUCGCUGGCCGGAAUGCUGAGGUGGGAGAGCUCAGAGCUUCUCCUCCGGGGCCUCCUCCUGUCACCUCGGACAGCUUGCUAUUCUCCUGCUCACUUUGGAGCAAACCCAGUGGUUUCCCUGUCAAAGGAGAGCGUUUGAUGGAUUAAUCUAUUUAUUUUGCCUUACAGGGUAAAUUGGUAUUUUUGACAGCAAAUGCCAUUUUCUUGAAUGGAAAUGGACAGUCCAAAUGGCUUCUGCUAGGUUUAGCAGCCUGUUUGGAGGGUCUGCCCUGGGGAGAGGGGUGUCAUGAGAGUAAACUCGGGGUUACACUGCUGCUUUAUGUGUUGCAGAGACUCAGAGCUCGAUGCAGCUGCAGGAUCGUGCUAGGGAUGUUCCCCCACUGCUUCCUGAAUCUUGUGGGUUAGAGGGGCUGCACGGGCAAUCUUGGGAGUCCUGCUUGGGGCUGGCAGUGUCUCAGGCUGGGGAAUGACCACAGCCUGGGGGAGUUCUUGUCUCACUGCAAAAUUUCCUCUUCAUUUCAGGCAUUACGACACAGAUUUUCCUCUUGCGAAGGCCCCGGCUCUGCAGACAGGCACUACCCUCACUGCAGGAAAAUUAGUAGGAUGGCUUGGGGCAAAGGUAAAACUAAAGUACAUCAGUAAAUGUUUGCAGGAUCAGGACCUUAUUCAGGCAUAAAUCAGGUAGCUCCAGCCAACAAUAGAAUUACCUAAGUAUAAAAUCCCAUGUAAGCUAGUAAGAUCAGCUCCAAACCUGCUAUGAAUUUGCUUUUUGUUUCCAUGCCAAGAAUAUAUCACUUCUAACUGCUGCAAUCAGGGCUGGUCCUUUCAGGUUUUUUAAGUGCUUUUGGGCACGUUUAUUUCCCGUCCCCAGAGCCUGACCCUCCUUCCCUGGGGCAUGUCCCAGCCUGCUUUGCCCACAAUAAAUUGGCGCUAUCAGAGAAUAUAUUUUUUUUGUUUCCUGGCCGUUUUUGUUACUGCAUUCGGUAAACAAAGGGACAGCAGUGACGAUCCAAACCCACUCUUUUUUAUUUGCCUGGGAACAGAGUCAACUAUUUGUUGGUCUUUUGUUGCUGUUUUUGUUCUCUUUUCAGCCAGUGACUGUUGAAACGGCCACUGGUACCUGCGGGGAGCACGUCCUGGUGCUGCAGGAUUUGUCACCUGGUGGCACUGGGUCAGCGAGGGGACAGUGAGGAGGACAAGGAGCUGCUGGUGGAAGGUGCCAGGUCAAACCAAGGGUUCAGGGCACAGUGGUCCCUUUCGUCCCUCCCAAACAAUAUGAGAACAGCCUGCAGCGUUUUCCUGGGGGUUGUAGGUGCCUCAGUUUCCCCAGCUUUCAGUGCACUGUUUGGAGAUGGUGCCCCACGACGAGACGUCUGGUGGUGCUUGUGCCUGGUUGACCUGGGAUGAGACUGGUUCUUGGGAAUGAGCUUCUCAAAACACCUGGGAGAAGGAAGCUGGAGGCUCUUUCAGCCUGAGGGAAAACUUCUCCUGGCCUCUGCAGCCCUGGGGCCUGUGCAGCAGUGAAGGCAGCUCAGGCAGCUCCCAGGCUGGUCUUUUCCUAGCAGUCACCAGGAGAAACAUCCUGGCUCCCACUGCCAUCCCCGCCUGUCCCUCCAACCCACAACAGGGCUCUCCAAAAAUCCAGGGAGAGCUUCCCCUUCCCUGUUCCACUGGGACAGACACAGCAGUCCCUGGGACAGCACCGUGAGGAACAGCAAUGCAUUUUCCAUGCUUUGGGCACUGGCGUGGGCUGGGGACACCCUGGUGCCAUCAGAGCCAUUUGUCACCCCUGGGCACUCUGGAACAGGGUGGGGGGAGCUGCUCUGCUGCCUCUGCCAGGCACAACUCUUGUGCUGCAAACCAAAUCCUGCAGAGGAACAUCCCCGGGAGCCAUAUGGUGUCUCUGAGGCUUUGAUGGAGUUGAGCAGAACUCAAAGCAGCCAAGCAGGUUGGACUGUGACCCGUGGUGAGCCCAGGGGACCUGUCCUGCCCUGCUCAGGGCUGCCAGCCUGGGCAUUAAGAACUGUGUUGGUGUCUCCUGCCAGUGCCCGGUGGAGCUGCUGAGAUUGGGGGUUUGCAUGUAAAGGAGGAUGGUUUUGUGGUGAAGUGAUGCAAGUGGAGAGAGCAGCAUCUCAGGCUGAUGUUUGAAACAUCCCUCAGACAGCAGGUGGGUCAGGGGAGCCUGGGGACACACAGGGUUUGCUCAGCCUGUGCCAGGAAAGCCGUGAUUCCAACCCCUUCUCAGGGCUGAGAGCAGCACCAUAAACCACCGUGGAUUGCUGGAGAGGCCUGCCCUGAGCUCUGCUCCUUCAGCAGGGAUAACAGUCCUGCAGCACACAGAAGGAGGGAUACACAUGGCUGUAGCCUGCUAGGGUCCACUAAAACAAGUCCCAAACCCACGGAGGCAAGAAAAAUUACUCAGGAGAAUUUCUCUGGGAUUUUGCCUUGUACCUCACUUUGUAAUGCUCUGAGUUUGCUGUGGAAAGACACAGCCCAGGCUGGUUGAACCUCAAACCUUAUAUUAAGCAUUUGCUGCCUGGUCUCCAGGAGCUGUGAGCAGCAUCUCCCCCGCUGGGAAACACAGGCUGGAGGAGGGAUGUGUGCCCUCCACUUGGAGCUGUGGGGGCUGCAGUGACUCACUGAUAUCAGGGGGCUGCCCAGAAAGAACCUGUGGAUGUUUAAUGUUGCAAAGGCUUCUGGAGGUUUGCUCUAUAAAUACAAUUACGUUAAAAAAAGCCAGAUUUCAGAGUUUACUCUAGAAGAAAAAGGGAGGGAUGAUUGUUUCUGACUGGUCAUGGAUUAAUUUUUAAAUUGUGUACCCACAAUGUGUUGUCAUGCCAAAAAAAAUCUAACCCUUACAAAAAACUCAUUUCAAAAUGAGUAACUGCAACAUUUUUUCAUUGUGUAAGAAGGCUGUAGCAGGGCUGCUGGGACUUCCCUUCUCCCCAGAAUGACAUUCUUAUAUCAUUAUUCUUAUUCUGAUGUAAUUAAUGGGGCAUUUGGACUCUGAUAGCAUUUGCUUCCAUCCAGUUUCUCAUGAAAACCCUCCUGAUGCCUCUCAGAGCUUCACAAAGGGUUGAUUGAUCAGAUGAAUGAUGUAGUCCCCUUUCCCCAUGGCUGUGCCCCAGGAGCUCAAGGCAUCAAGAGCAGAGGAGAGCUCAGGGUUUGUUUAAGGUGCUCACAUGUCAGCAGCUCAUGCGAACACACCAGCGGAUGCUACAGGAGACCACAAAUGGCCGUGGGUGUCUGCACGCACUGACCCCUCCGUUUAUCCAUGAACAGGAGCCACUCCAGGAAUCUCUACGCUGGCAGGAUUCAGAGAGGCACAAAGGAGGGAAAAACAAGUUUCAGCCAGAAGAGAGGGGAAAAAAAAAAGGAUGCUGUUAGCAUUCCCUCUAUGUGAGGGGGUAAAAACAUUUUGCUGUCAACUCUAUUUUAAAGGGUAAGUGCCAACAGCAGCCCAGUUACUAUGCAAAUAAAUCCUAUGCUCAGCCUUUCCCUCUCAGUGCAAAGUUUUGGUGCUGGGGCUCGUUAGCCAGGGGAGCUGGGCUGUGGGGGUUGGCAGAGCCCCCCAUGUCCCCAGUGCCCUCAUCCUCAUCCUGGGGAUGGCCACUGGCUGGGGGUGCCACUGCAAAGCUCUGGACCUUGGCAGGAACCCGUGGGUGUCACCAGAUAACGUGGGACAGUGGGGGGAGCGCUGCAGCGGUGAGGGCUGGGUACCCCGGCUCCUUAUCAAGAGCAGAUUCAGGCAGCAGCUGGCAGCAGAGCCCUUGGCUGUGGCUCUGUGACAGGGGACACCCCACGGACAGGCAGUGCCUGGAAAGGGCAGAAAUCUCACCCGAGCCAUCCCCCUUCAUGGCAGGCAAGUGGGGAGGGUCUGGCAGCAGCCACCUGGGGUACAGGGCUAUCUCUUGCUUGCUGCUGCCGGGUGGGAAGGGAGGUGAUGCCAGGACAUGAUGCCAGAUUCUGGCUGGGCUCGUCCAGGUGAUGACCAGCACUCCAGCACUGGUAUUUAUGGUGACGCUUCUGCAUGACAGCACAGGGACUGCCCAUGCUCCAGCCCACACAAGCCAAAACUCCCCCUGACAGCCCCAGUGUGAUGGU